AGAGAAAACGCAGAAUUGUGAAAUCAGAAUAUUAGGGUUUCUCUGUUUGCAACAUAUCCCGUGUUUUCUGACUGGAAGCUACACAGAUGUUGGCACUUUAUAUGCCAAUGCAUUCAUCACAAGUAAAAGAAUUUUUCAUCUUGGCAAAAGGGAUUUUACAAAAGAAUUAUGGAACAUCAUGCAUCAUAAAGAAGAGCUGAAAGAUCUGUUGGAGAAGAUGGUCCUCUGGAUCUUCAUUUGGAGAAUGAUAGCAGUUCUAUCAUUAAGAGUAGAAAAUAUGAUAAUGUGGGGCUUCCAGUAGACUGGAGAAGGCAGAAAUCUGUGACAGUCAUCAGGGGACAAUCAUAAGGACCCAGAGGUUGUAGUCCCUCUCUCAAGGAAGUGAUGGACAAGAGUCUUCUUUCUGUGGUCACAACAGGCUGUGAAUUUCAUGCAAUGGAUGAACCAAAUGACUUCAAGGUAGCAGCAGGAAAUGAACACUAAACUUUAUAGAUUCCUUGGAGCUUCAGAUAUGAGUGAGUGCUGAAUCCAUGGGAAUGAAGGAAGGACCCUCUCAGAAGGUCCUGGCAUAAAUCCUGUCAGACUCUCCAAGUUUCCAGGUUCUAAUGACCAUAGUACAUAAAAGUCAGGUGUCUGGAAGGAAGGGAAGGGAAGAGGAGAGAGGAAGCAAUGUGGGCACCUGAGGGGAACACCAGACUGUAAUCCUUAAAGUGGCCUCUGUCUCAAACCUAGAACUCUAUAAUUUCUGCAUCCUAAGAGUGGUUAGGAUUAGGUUGGACUUCUCCUUGGUGAAAAAUUUUGAUUUGAGAUUUUGCAUAUCUUGUCCCCAAUCCCACUUAUCAUAGUGAAAACCAGAGUCAUCCUGUGCCUUGAAUAAUUCUGAGGACCCUCCUCCCUACUUGAUCCCCAGUACAGAAGAUCACUGUCAACAUGUCCUGGUUACAGUGAAGGUGAUGUCAAGAGUUGCAGAGAUCAGGUUGAGGAGCAAGAUCUUCUCCUGGGGGUGUCAAGAAAGAUUCUCAUUAGGGAAAACUUUGAGCACCAACAUAAAUGCAAAGAAGAUCCUAUAAAGGGAGUCAGUAUCUAGCACCAAGACAUGCAUGUGAUGAAAUUCAAGAUCAUCAAAGCUCUGGCCAAGAAAGGUGUAUUCAUUAUCUACUGCUGCAUAAUAAAUUAUUUCAAGACUGAGUGUCUAAAAAAAAAAAAAAAAAGCAUUAUCUCAUGGUUCCACUGGGCCUGGGAUCAGAUUGCAGCUUGGCUGGUCAUGUGACAGAGGGUCUGUCAUAAGCUGUGAUUUAGUAGCCAACAGAUGCUAUAAUCUUUAUGAGGCUUACAGGAUGAAAUUCCAAGAAAUUUGCUGGUUGCUGGCAAGAAUCAAUUCCUCAAAGCAUUGAACUAAAGGCUUCAGUUUUGCAUUGGUGGUUUUGCUAAACUUCCCUCAGCACCUGGAAACAUAGGCUUCUCCAAAAGGCAGCUCACAGUAUGAUCUGCCUUCAUUGCAGCGAGAAAGAAGGGAGCAAACAAGGCCAAAGUCAGCCUUUCAUAAAGCGACCUUGAUGGUACAUUUACCACCUUAGAAGCAAGUAGCUGGGCCCAUUGCACACUGGCGGGAGGAGAUUAGCCAAGGGCAUGGUUGUGCUUUGGAUGUGAUUUGUCCCCUAGGGGUUCACAGACUGAAUGCUUAGUCCACAGUGUGCAGAUAUCACAGGAGAUGGGACCUUAAGAGGCAGGCCUGGAGAAGGUUAUUGGAGCGCUGCCCUCAGAAGAGAUGAAUGGAGGAUUUAUGGGAUUUUAGUUCACAGAAGAGGGAGUUGUUAGAGCUUGCCUCAUGCACUUAACCACUUUUGCAUGUGACCAGUUCCUGUUUCAAUUUUGUACCAUUUGGGACCCAGCCAGUUCUACUUGAUACUUCUAUCCUUUAAAAUUGCAGACCAAAUAAUCCUAUCUUCUUAGCAGAAUAGCAAACCUCAGAUAUUUUGUUACAGAAACCGAUAAUUAGUACACAAACAUGAAUAAAAGAGAGGAAUCAUAAAGCCCAUCUUUGAAGUUUGCCUGUAAUAAUCAUGUAUAAACAGUAAGGAUCUGUCCUUGAGUGGAGAGUGGGCUUGGAAAGAGGAGGGAGGAUGAAGCACCCUUAAGGCAAUGAUCACACAAGGUCCUAAAAAUCAAGCCAGAGAAUUCAGAGAAGAAGCAGAUGUGAGGAUUCAGGGCAGGGAGACAACCUGAACUAGGACAACAACCAUAAGGAUGGAUAUUGGGGCCGUAUGAGAGAUAUUGACAAGAGAAGUAAAGGAACAAUCCUAUAUGUAGCAAAUGUUGGCAUUCUGUAAGACCACAACCCAUUCUGUUUACUAAAAACAAAACAAUUUCAUGAAAGAGGUAGGGAACUGAUCUAGACAUAAGUCAUAGGAAGCAUACACCAGUUCAACAUAUGAACUUUCACUCCUGGAAUGACAUAAAACCUCAUGGCAGGGAAGCAUUCCCAUGCAAUAACCAGGUAACAAUUAUGAGGUAAACCAGGGAUAUCCAGCCUGCUCUGAGUGUGGGAGAAAACUCAGCAGAGCUCUUAACAUUCUGCAAAGGUUGAUCCAACAAAUGAAAACAUGGGGAGAACUGAAGUAUGUCCAGCUCAAAAGGCUGAAAAUUUUUUUGAUAUCCUCACAAAGAUUUGGAAAUGUAAUUUUUUCCUCAAGUAUACUGGGUGCUUCUUCCUCAAGACAGUUGUAGGAUUUUUAAGCCAAUAAUGUGUUUAGAAAUACAGAAGGCAACUUGGAAAGAGUUGUUUUUAAAGAAAUAGGAUUAUGUCCAUUUUCCCAAAGUCUUAGUAUGACCUGCCUUCUGGAUCAAAUCAAAAGAAGAGACCAUUCUGGUUGAGAGGACACAGAAGUCUACAUGUAAGACACAGAGAUUCAGUGAAUAAGACAGGAAAGGUCCGUCCUUAGUUCAAGAGGGAAAACUACACAGGUGAGGUCAGAAGUUAAGAGAGGUGUUAGGGUGUCACUGAGAUAGGAGAGUAGGGUGUGGUUAGGGUGGAGAAGUAGGCAUGAAUCUGUUAACUACAAGAUCCCAGACACAUGCAGAAUGGAUCCUAACCCCUGCAGUGAACUCAGGAGAACUCACUCAGGUUUUCAAUGGGAUGGCCUAGGUUUGAUGUCAGCCUGAGGCAUGGUAUCCCAGCACUGCCCCUCAAAAGUAGAAGUUCUCAUGGGUUUCCUCGAGAUUUUGAUAGUAUUAAAUAAAUGCAGCCAUGAGGAACCAGUGCGGUCAUACCUCUCUGUGAUAGCCCACACCGUGUGACCCAGAUGCAGUGUGUAGUUUUAUCUUUGCUCUCGCUGUUUUUCUCUAUUUACUCACCUCUUUAUUUUUGCUUUCUUGAAUA